rnacentral:rRNA from 1 species
GGCAGACGGGUGAGUAACACGUGGGAAUCUGCCUUGUGGUUCAGGACAACAUUGGGAAACCGAUGCUAAUACUGGAUAAGCCCUUACGGGGAAAGUUUUAAUGCCAUAAGAUGAGCCCGCAUUUGAUUAGUUAGUUGGUGAGGUAAUGGCUCACCAAGACAAUGAUCAAUAGCUGAUCUGAGAGGAUGAUCAGCCACACUGGGACUGAGACACGGCCCAGACUCCUACGGGAGGCAGCAGUGGGGAAUCUUGCACAAUGGAGGAAACUCUGAUGCAGCGAUGCCGCGUGAGUGAAGAAGGCCUUUGGGUUGUAAAGCUCUUUUGUAGGGGAAGAUAAUGACUGUACCCUAAGAAUAAGGUCCGGCUAACUUCGUGCCAGCAGCCGCGGUAAUACGAAGGGACCUAGCGUAGUUCGGAAUUACUGGGCGUAAAGCGCGCGUAGGCCGUUGAGUUAGUUAAUUGUGAAAUCCCAAAGCUUAACUUUGGAACUGCAAUUAAAACUGCUCGACUAGAGUUUGAUAGAGGAAAGCGGAAUACAUAGUGUAGAGGUGAAAUUCGUAGAUAUUAUGUAGAACACCAGUUGCGAAGGCGGCUUUCUGGAUCAACACUGACGCUGAGGCGCGAAAGUAUGGGUAGCAAAGAGGAUUAGAUACCCUCGUAGUCCAUACCAUAAACGAUGAUUGCUAGAUGUUGGAGAUUUAUUUUCAGUAUCGCAGCUAACGCAUUAAGCAAUCCGCCUGGGGAGUACGACCGCAAGGUUAAAACUCAAAUGAAUUGACGGGGACCCGCACAAGCGGUGGAGCAUGUGGUUUAAUUCGAAGAUACGCGCAGAACCUUACC